AUGAACGCUGGCGGCGUGCUUAACACAUGCAAGUCGCACGAAGCACUUUAUUUGAUUUCCUUCGGGACUGAUUAUUUUGUGACUGAGUGGCGGACGGGUGAGUAACGCGUGGGUAACCUGCCUUGUACAGGGGGAUAACAGUUGGAAACGGCUGCUAAUACCGCAUAAGCGCACGGCAUCGCAUGAUGCAGUGUGAAAAACUCCGGUGGUAUAAGAUGGACCCGCGUUGGAUUAGCUAGUUGGUGAGGUAACGGCCCACCAAGGCGACGAUCCAUAGCCGACCUGAGAGGGUGACCGGCCACAUUGGGACUGAGACACGGCCCAAACUCCUACGGGAGGCAGCAGUGGGGAAUAUUGCACAAUGGGCGAAAGCCUGAUGCAGCGACGCCGCGUGAGCGAAGAAGUAUUUCGGUAUGUAAAGCUCUAUCAGCAGGGAAGAUAAUGACGGUACCUGACUAAGAAGCACCGGCUAAAUACGUG
rnacentral:rRNA from 1 species